rnacentral:lncRNA from 10 species
CGUGCCCCGGCCCGCCCACUGUUUUCCUUGGUGCGUUUCUCUUUAAAUGCAAAUAAGUGCAGGCGUGGUGUUGGCAGGGGGCGGAGAGGGUGCGGAACCACUGGCUGGGGCUCCCCACUCCCGCCCCCACGCCGGGCUGGUAGUGGCGUGGCUACACCGUGGCCUCAAGGAGCCAGUCCUGCCCGGAUGGGGCUCGCCGGAUCGGUUUCGGUUUUCACGCACUCCCAUUUCUGUGGCCGCUGUGCAUUCGCGGAGUGUUCUCUGCUGCUUCUGGGUCCUGACAGUCUUGAAAAGAUCCAGCUGCUGAACUGGUAAGAGGUGGACUGCUGCCUCUGCAUGUGUAGAGCACAGGAACUGACAUGGCUGCUAGGGAUCUGACUCUAGCUCUACCUCAGACUUGCUGGACACCUUGGCCAAUUCAUUUUUUUCUCUGGGCCAGGGCAUCACCCCACCUCCACAAGGAGAGGUAGCCAUGUUGCUCACAGCUUGAGGUGCAGCAGUCUGAACCACCCGGCGGCUGAGAAGAGGAACCAAAUGAGGAACUAUUCCAGAGUCUACUACCAUCUGUAUUUGUUCAUUGCCAGCACCAGUAAGGAAGGGAGGAAGAGAGGAAAUCAGGUGUACUUCAGAGGUCUCUGAAUCCAUCUACUGUCCUGAUUUGCCACAAUUAUUGGUAACAAGUUAGAUGCACUGCAAUAAUAAAUAAAAGAAGUGACACCUGGCUCUAGAAUACCAACCAGUGUAAUGAUAUUCAUCAGUCACAUCCAUGUCCCAAGCAAGUCCUGCCCCUUGUGUCAUUGCCCCCAACAGCAGAGAGCAUUCAUCAUGAAAACAACUGCUGUGCCCUGUAUGUAUUAAAAACGGCAGGCUUUUAUGACAAGCCUCUCUAAUUUAGGUCUCUUCUUUAAAGUAAUAAGCGAGAAAAUAUGUAACAGGAGGAAGGAAGGGGAAUGGUGGAAUACUUUUGUGUCAAGAUGUACAAGGUCAUUGAAGGUUAAGUGUUAAAAAUACAAUCCAGACUAGCCUUGAACUUAUGCCUCUCCACACCCUACUUCUCCAUGUGCCUCCAACUAAAGCAAAUUUCAGACUUGGAAAGGAAUCCUGCAUCUUGCAGUCCCCACAUCUAUCAUUUUUAAAUGCUGAAAGCACUCAAGAGUUAGAAGGAACCUUCCAGAUUGAUACCAGCAUUUCUUAAGGCAUGUUCUAUGAAUCCUAGUUCCACAGAUGUUAAUAGGCAUGUACACACAUGCACACACACAGUUCUGUGGUCAGCAUAGGGGAACACUGGGUGAAACAAACAUAAGCAGGUUUAUUGCAGGGCUUCUCGGAGCCUUUAAUAGGUGAACGUUCACUAUGAAUCUCCACAGUGUUUGUGGUGUUAAUAUAUUUUACCUUAGAAUCAUUUUUUUAAAACAAAUUAUCUUGUGGGACUAGUGUUCAUCAGGAACAUAGUUUAGGAAAUGCUAGUAUAUCCACUCAGCUCAUUUUAUUGAAGCACUAUAGUACAUGGGUAAAGAGCACAAACUUGGGUCACAGACUGUUUGGCUUCGUAUUUC